rnacentral:snoRNA from 1 species
AAGAUCGUGCUUCAUAGGAUCAUUUCUAUAGUACGAUUGUCGAGACGCAUCCGCGAUCUCGGAACACACUCGACCACGAUGAGGAGUCGAGGGUCUCCGCCUGAGCGCGAAGCCGGCAUCGGGACUUAGGGUUCCGACCCGGGUUCCUGCCAUUGAUGACCGUUCCCUCGGCUCUUGUAGCUGAUGGGAGGGCGGAGACCCAGUCUGAGUGGC